GACGAACGAUGGCGGCGUGCUUAACACAUGCAAGUCGAACGAAGUGGCGAACGGGUGAGUAACGCGUAAUCAACCUGCCCUUCAGAGGGGGACAACAGAUGGAAACGACUGCUACUACCGCAUAAAGAAGGAGGGGCGUGGGUCUGAUUCGCUAGUUGGAGGGGUAACGGCCCACAAAGGCGAUGAUCGGUGGCCGGUCUGAGAGGAUGAACGGCCACAUUGGGACUGAGACACGGCCCAGACUCCUACGGGAGGCAGCAGUGGGGAAUCUUCCGCAAUGGACGAAAGUCUGACGGAGCAACGCCGCGUGAGUGAUGACGGCCUUCGGGUUGUAAAGCUCUGUUAAUCGGGACGCGGUACCGGAAUAGAAAGCCACGGCUAACUACGUGCCAGCCGCCGCGGUAAUUC
rnacentral:rRNA from 1 species